CGGAGGUACUCGAGUGGCGAACGGGUGAGUAACACGUGGGCAAUCUGCCCUGCACUUCGGGAUAAGCCUGGGAAACUGGGUCUAAUACCGGAUAGGACCUCAAGACGCAUGUCUUGUGGUGGAAAGCUUUUGCGGUGUGGGAUGGGCCCGCGGCCUAUCAGCUUGUUGGUGGGGUGACGGCCUACCAAGGCGACGACGGGUAGCCGGCCUGAGAGGGUGUCCGGCCACACUGGGACUGAGAUACGGCCCAGACUCCUACGGGAGGCAGCAGUGGGGAAUAUUGCACAAUGGGCGCAAGCCUGAUGCAGCGACGCCGCGUGGGGGAUGACGGCCUUUCGGGUUGUAAACCUCUUUCACCAUCGACGAAGGUCCGGGUUUUCUCGGAUUGACGGUAGGUGGAGAAGAAGCACCGGCCAACUACGUGCCAGCAGCCGCGGUAAUACGUAGGGUGCGAGCGUUGUCCGGAAUUACUGGGCGUAAAGAGCUCGUAGGUGGUUUGUCGCGUUGUUCGUGAAAUCUCACGGCUUAACUGUGAGCGUGCGGGCGAUACGGGCAGACUAGAGUACUGCAGGGGAGACUGGAAUUCCUGGUGUAGCGGUGGAAUGCGCAGAUAUCAGGAGGAACACCGGUGGCGAAGGCGGGUCUCUGGGCAGUAACUGACGCUGAGGAGCGAAAGCGUGGGGAGCGAACAGGAUUAGAUACCCUGGUAGUCCACGCCGUAAACGGUGGGUACUAGGUGUGGGUUUCCUUCCUUGGGAUCCGUGCCGUAGCUAACGCAUUAAGUACCCCGCCUGGGGAGUACGGCCGCAAGGCUAAAACUCAAAGGAAUUGACGGGGGCCCGCACAAGCGGCGGAGCAUGUGGAUUAAUUCGAUGCAACGCGAAGAACCUUACCUGGGUUUGACAUGCACAGGACGCGUCUAGAGAUAGGCGUUCCCUUGUGGCCUGUGUGCAGGUGGUGCAUGGCUGUCGUCAGCUCGUGUCGUGAGAUGUUGGGUUAAGUCCCGCAACGAGCGCAACCCUUGUCUCAUGUUGCCAGCGGGUAAUGCCGGGGACUCGUGAGAGACUGCCGGGGUCAACUCGGAGGAAGGUGGGGAUGACGUCAAGUCAUCAUGCCCCUUAUGUCCAGGGCUUCACACAUGCUACAAUGGCCGGUACAAAGGGCUGCGAUGCCGUAAGGANCNAUCCUUUUUAAGCGAAUCCUUUUAAUNGGGNNUGAGCCGGUCUCAGUGCGGAUUGGGGUCUGCAACUCGACCCCAUGAAGUCGGAGUCGNUUNCCNGCUAGUAAUCGCAGAUCAGCAACGCUGCGGUGAAUACGUUCCCGGGCCUUGUACACACCGCCCGUCACGUCAUGAAAGUCGGUAACACCCGAAGCCA
rnacentral:rRNA from 1 species